rnacentral:siRNA from 1 species
AUACUUAUUCUUAUCAGAAAACC